rnacentral:rRNA from 1 species
GAGUAUAGCCCAGAGAAAUUUGGAUUAAUCCUCUAUAACAUCUUUUAAUUUCAUGAUUUUAAGAUUAAAGUUUUAACGGUAAAAGAUGGGCAUGCGUCCUAUUAGUUUGUAGGUGAGGUAACGGCUCACCUAGACUACGAUAGGUAGGGGCCCUGAGAGGGGGAUCCCCCACACUGGUACUGAGACACGGACCAGACUCCUACGGGAGGCAGCAGUAAGGAAUAUUGGACAAUGGACGAAAGUCUGAUCCAGCCAUGCCGCGUGCAGGAUGACAGCCCUACGGGUUGUAAACUGCUUUUAUACAGGAAGAAACACUCCGACGUGUCGGAGCUUGACGGUACUGUAAGAAUAAGGAUCGGCUAACUCCGUGCCAGCAGCCGCGGUAAUACGGAGGAUCCAAGCGUUAUCCGGAAUCAUUGGGUUUAAAGGGUCCGCAGGCUGUUUUUUAAGUCAGAGGUGAAAUCCUACAGCUCAACUGUAGAACCGCCUUUGAUACUGGAAAACUUGAGUUAUUGUGAAGUGGUUAGAAUGUGUGGUGUAGCGGUGAAAUGCAUAGAUAUCACACGGAAUACCGAUUGCGAAGGCAGAUCACUAACAAUAUACUGACGCUCAUGGACGAAAGCGUGGGGAGCGAACAGGAUUAGAUACCCUGGUAGUCCACGCCGUAAACGAUGGAUACUAGCUGUUCGUCUAACAUUGGUUAGAUGAGUGGCUAAGCGAAAGUGAUAA